AAAUUGCUCUCUGAAGAAUUUCAGAGUCUCAGCAAUGGCUGCUUCUCGUCCGUACAUUUUACUUCUUCUUUGCUUCCUGUGGCUGUCUCAUCAAACGCCGUUAAGAAAGCGAUUCGCAUUGUUUUAGCUCUGUUUUUCCGAUUUGCUCUGAUGGAGUGUUUAGGGUUUUCAGUACUAGAGCUUCUCAAGUUAAUGAUUCUGGAUCUAUUGAUCAGACCCUUAUGCAAUCCAUGGAGAAAAAGAUCAAAGAACAACUGGAUGCAGGCAGAGUCGGUUUCUGUCAAAAAUAUGUCUGUUGACGGACGACGUGUAUGCAUUAACGUGCUAACAGCGGCGUUCAUGGGGAAAUCCUCAGUGAACAGGCAGAGGAUGAUGUAUGACAACAAAGACUCCUUCAGAAGUUUGAAAAGCUUACACAAGUGUGACCAAAGCUCUGAAUCUGUUUUUGGUCCAAACUUCAGUGCCAACAAUGUUUUUCUUCAAUCUUGCUUCCAAUUAUCCUGGAGUAAAGAAAAUGACAGCAUAAAAUCAGCCAGAAGAAGAUGUUUCUGCCUUCAUUGACUAUGUCUUCAGACAGAGAUUCUCCGAGACCGGUGGUCGGAAAUCAAAGGAAAGAAGAAAUUUGGCCGCAAUUCCGUCAAGACAUGGCAGCAACAAAGAUAGAGACAGGGAUAACAGUUUGUGGACUGCUCGAGUGGAAGUCUAUCGUCAAUGUUUAGCUCACCGGACACAAGAAGCUCAUGGUAGCACAAAAAGACUCAUCAGGUAUUGAGAAGUUAUCAGAUUACCUGUUUGGUGGAGUUGAACCGGUCACUAGUACAUAGAAUUGGUUAUGGUUCUCCCAAACUCAUAUAAUGUCCGGAGCUGCGCUUGGUAAGUAGAACCUAAUCCUGGCUCCGGAAACGCUCUUCUUCUUCGAGGUACGUUUGAUUUCUCCUCUUUUUGCUGUCUAAUCUUUCCCUUUGGGAGGGAGAAGAAAUUAUUCCGAUGAGGACGAGGGGUUAGGUUUACAUAGAUUUUGAAAUUAGAAUUGAUUUAGGUUCGGUUUACAUGGUAUUGAAAUUAGAAUUGAUUUCGGUUCGGCUUACAUUGGUUUUGAAGUUAGAAUUGUCGGUUUACAUUGCAAUUAAUAAGGUUUGAGAAC